GAAAAAUCGGCGACUCGAUUCUGCACCGGCGGUGGCUCAUCCUUGAUUCCGAUCCGGCGUUCGGUCAUCUGUAACGACGAUAACGGUAAGGGAUUUCUAUUUCUCUCUCACUCUCGUUCUCAAUCGUCGAUUCUAUGUUUUGUUUAGAUUGGUUUGUUUUUUCCUUCAUCGUUUUGAUUAGAUAGUUAUGGAUAGUUUAUGAUUUUGAUUUCAUCGAUUUAUUGCUUUGGGAUAGAGGGUAUUGGCGUUUUAUGGUUUUAGUGUUUGACUCUUGAAAUUGAGUUAGGAUUUGUUUGAUAAUGCUUUUGAUUACAUCGAUUAAGGAUUUAUGUAUGGGUGUUUUGUUUUUAUGGUUUUGAUUACAUCGACUAAGGAUAUAGUAUAUGGUUUUAGUGUUUGACUCUUGAAAUUGAGUUAGGAUUUGUUUGAUAAUGGUUUGAUUACAUCGAUUAAGGAUCGAUGUAUGGGUGUUUGGUUUUUAUGGUUUUGGUUACAUCGAUUGUUGACUUAGUGUAAAUAGAAAUUGAUUUUGUAUUUGCUCAUUGUAUUUGCUUGAUAGGCCUUUUUGUUUGCUUGAGAUUGUGUUUGCUGGAUUCAGUCAAGAUAAGUUUCACUGCAUCUGUCUAUAUGCAUUGAUGACUAUCUCCAACUCAACUUGUUUAUCUUUUGUGGUUGUCUAUAUGCAUUGAUGACUAUCUCCAACCAUUUCAGCUAACCAAACUUGUUUAUCUUUGAAUGCAGCUCACGAAAAGGGCAAUCUUCCAAGGCGAGUGUAGUGGAACAAGUGGAAGGAGUGCAACUUGCGGACAAACCUGGUAAGCUUUUUAAUACACUAUCUAAAUGGUAAUAAAGGCUUAUUUAGGUUGUUUGUUAGAGUUGGCAUAAGAAUGGUUAGAUAGGUUUGGUCAUAAAUGCUUGUUAGAGAUAGUUAAUGGUAAUAAAGGGUUGUUAGAAUUGAGUUGAAUGCUCUUUGUUAGGUUAAUGUCUCGUCGAAGUGGUUAAGUGUUGAUAAAUGAUUUUUUCUUUCCUUUGUUUGAACUUUAUUAAACGCAGAUACUUGUUUUCCCUUUGAUCUUCUUAAAAGAAGAUCUUCUUAAACACACACACUACUUCGUGUGUUCUUGUCUUCCUCUCUUCCAUUCCUUGUCUUCUAUCUCUCUUCUUUAUCUUCCAUUCCUUGUCUUCCUUGUCUUCUUUCUCUCUUCCAUUCCUUGUCUUGUUUCUCUCUUCCAUUCGUUGUCUUCUUUCUCUCUUCCAUUCCUUUGUAAUGGAUUUCUCUUCUACAUUUCCAUUUUCUCAGCCUUCAAACUUUGUUGACUUGUUGAAUAGUCAACAAGAAACACUUAUCUUUGAUGAGCCCUUCGGUACACAGUCUACUCAGUCUACAGCUCAAGAGCGAUGAGAAAGGAGAACUUGGACCCCCAGCGACGAUAUCCUGCUCAUCAGUUCCUGGUUAAACACGAGUAAAGACCUGUAGUGGGCAAUGAGCAAAAAAGUGGAGCUUUCUGGAAGAGGAUAGCGGCGUACUAUGCUGCAAGUCCAAAUGCUGAUUCCCGUGAACCUCGUCUGGCUAGCAAUGCAAGCAGAUGUGGCACAAGAUGAAUGAUCUUGUGUGUAAGUUCCGUGGUGCAUAUGAGGCGACAACAAGGGAUGAAUAAGAUGAAUGAGAAUGACGUGAUUAAGCUUGCCCACCAGAUCUUCUUAAUCAAUCACAAGAAGAAGUUCAAUCUUGAACACGCAUGGAAGGAGUUGAGGAAUGAUCAAAAGUGGUGUGAGAAUCUUUCCACAACAAAGAAUGAUGCAAAAAGGAGAAGGAGUGAUGAGGGCUCGCAAUCACCGCGAUCUGCUGCAGAGGAGCUGAAGAGUGGUGAAGAAGAUAUUUCUAGCAAUCGGCCUCCUGGUGUGAAGGCUGCAAAGGCAAGAGGGAAAAAAACUACGGGUGAAGGAAAAGUGGUGACUGACUUUCAAAAGCUGUGGGACAUCAAAUGAGAGGACAUAACAGCUAAAGAGAGACUGACCAAGAUGGGCCUUUUAGACAGCCUCAUUGCACAAAAAGAACCCCUUUCUGAGGUUGAAGAAGCACUUAAGAUGAAGCUCAUCAACGAGAUGUUGUCUACUUAGUGAUUGUAUGUUUGUUUUGUAUGUUUCAUGUGUGUCUGUUCCAUGUUGUCUGCUCAUCAGUUCUUGUUUGUUUCAUUUUUUUUUUUAUGAAUUGGCUUUGUACUUGUCAUUUACGACAAUGCUUUUAAUGUUUAAAUUGGCUAUGUUUUAGAAGUGUGAAUGCUUGGUCUAUUCAUGUUAUAAAUCAGCUUUAUUCAUGUUGUCUGCUCAUCAGUUCUGGUUUUGUUCAUGUUCCGAAAUGAUACACUGAUAUAUGAUAAUUGAUAUGACUUAUUUCCUGGCUUUUGGUUCAUGUUCGGAUCAUGCUCCGGUUCAUUCUGAGAUGAGGAGACUUUGCUGAAUGCAUUACAAGGUCCUUUGUUCAUUAAAAGUUUUGAUUAUGGUUUGGUUCAUGUUAUGCAUUUGUUAACUCGGUUAUUUUGGUUUUCAAGGAGAUUUGGAGUGGAAGUUGGCACAAAACAACAAGACAGCUCACAUGAUAUAAAGUGGAAAAACAAGUCGGCACAAAAUCACAAGACCAGUGGGCACAUAGAAACAAGAGAAGGAAGAUAUUGUCUUUGUAAAUUUUAAUUAAAAGUGUAUAUAAAACAUUGAGACCAAAGUGUGUAGAUAAAACUUUGAGACCACAAGUGUUAUUUGUUCAUUGAGACCACAUAAUUCACUCAACACUCUUCUAUAUAUAGUUUGCUUUUCAUUGGUAUAUUGUCAAACCAAUCGAUUUAUUGUACUCUCUCAC
rnacentral:lncRNA from 1 species